rnacentral:rRNA from 1 species
UACGUAGGGUGCGAGCGUUAAUCGGAAUUACUGGGCGUAAAGCGUGCGCAGGCGGUGAGCUGUGUCCGAUGUGAAAGCCCCGGGCUUAACCUGGGGAAUGGCAUUGGAAACUGGCUCGCUGGAGUGUGGCAGAGGGGGGUGGAAUUCCGCGUGUAGCAGUGAAAUGCGUAGAGAUGCGGAGGAACACCGAUGGCGAAGGCAGCCCCCUGGGCUAACACUGACGCUCAGGCACGAAAGCGUGGGGAGCAAACAGG